ACUUUUAUAGGACAAUAGUCUGUCCAUUGGUCUUAGGAGCCAACACCUCUUGGUGCAAAUCCAAGUAGAAGUU
rnacentral:tRNA from 1 species